GGAGAGGUCGCAUAGUGGACUAGUGCGCCGCACUCGAAAUGCGGUGAGCCCGCAAGGGUUCCGUGGGUUCGAAUCCCACCCUCUCCGCCA
rnacentral:tRNA from 1 species